rnacentral:rRNA from 1 species
GAUGAACGCUGGCGGCGUGCCUAAUACAUGCAAGUCGAGCGGACGGACGAGAAGCUUGCUUCUCUGAUGUUAGCGGCGGACGGGUGAGUAGCACGUGGAUAACCUACCUAUAAGACUGGGAUAACUUCGGGAAACCGGAGCUAAUACCGGAUAAUAUUUUGAACCGCAUGGUUCAAAAGUGAAAGACGGUCUUGCUGUCACUUAUAGAUGGAUCCGCGCUGCAUUAGCUAGUUGGUAAGGUAACGGCUUACCAAGGCAACGAUGCAUAGCCGACCUGAGAGGGUGAUCGGCCACACUGGAACUGAGACACGGUCCAGACUCCUACGGGAGGCAGCAGUAGGGAAUCUUCCGCAAUGGGCGAAAGCCUGACGGAGCAACGCCGCGUGAGUGAUGAAGGUCUUCGGAUCGUAAAACUCUGUUAUUAGGGAAGAACAUAUGUGUAAGUAACUGUGCACAUCUUGACGGUACCUAAUCAGAAAGCCACGGCUAACUACGUG